UAGGUAGCGCCUCGUGAAUUCAUCUCCGGGGGUAGAGCACUGUUUCGGCAAGGGGGUCAUCCCGACUUACCAACCCGAUGCAAACUGCGAAUACCGGAGAAUGUUAUCACGGGAGACACACGGCGGGUGCUAACGUCCGUCGUGAAGAGGGAAACAACCCAGACCGCCAGCUAAGGUCCCAAAGUCAUGGUUAAGUGGGAAACGAUGUGGGAAGGCCCAGACAGCCAGGAUGUUGGCUUAGAAGCAGCCAUCAUUUAAAGAAAGCGUAAUAGCUCACUGGUCGAGUCGGCCUGCGCGGAAGAUGUAACGGGGCUAAACCAUGCACCGAAGCUGCGGCAGCGACGCUUAUGCGUUGUUGGGUAGGGGAGCGUUCUGUAAGCCUGUGAAGGUGUGCUGUGAGGCAUGCUGGAGGUAUCAGAAGUGCGAAUGCUGACAUAAGUAACGAUAAAGCGGGUGAAAAGCCCGCUCGCCGGAAGACCAAGGGUUCCUGUCCAACGUUAAUCGGGGCAGGGUGAGUCGACCCCUAAGGCGAGGCCGAAAGGCGUAGUCGAUGGGAAACAGGUUAAUAUUCCUGUACUUGGUGUUACUGCGAAGGGGGGACGGAGAAGGCUAUGUUGGCCGGGCGACGGUUGUCCCGGUUUAAGCGUGUAGGCUGGUUUUCCAGGCAAAUCCGGAAAAUCAAGGCUGAGGCGUGAUGACGAGGCACUACGGUGCUGAAGCAACAAAUGCCCUGCUUCCAGGAAAAGCCUCUAAGCAUCAGGUAACAUCAAAUCGUACCCCAAACCGACACAGGUGGUCAGGUAGAGAAUACCAAGGCGCUUGAGAGAACUCGGGUGAAGGAACUAGGCAAAAUGGUGCCGUAACUUCGGGAGAAGGCACGCUGAUAUGUAGGUGAAGCGACUUGCUCGUGGAGCUGAAAUCAGUCGAAGAUACCAGCUGGCUGCAACUGUUUAUUAAAAACACAGCACUGUGCAAACACGAAAGUGGACGUAUACGGUGUGACGCCUGCCCGGUGCCGGAAGGUUAAUUGAUGGGGUCAGCGCAAGCGAAGCUCUUGAUCGAAGCCCCGGUAAACGGCGGCCGUAACUAUAACGGUCCUAAGGUAGCGAAAUUCCUUGUCGGGUAAGUUCCGACCUGCACGAAUGGCGUAAUGAUGGCCAGGCUGUCUCCACCCGAGACUCAGUGAAAUUGAACUCGCUGUGAAGAUGCAGUGUACCCGCGGCAAGACGGAAAGACCCCGUGAACCUUUACUAUAGCUUGACACUGAACAUUGAGCCUUGAUG
rnacentral:rRNA from 1 species